GAUGAGAGGAUUAAGUCUGUAUCAAAUAGAACUUCCCAAGCUACGGUUACUUUCCCCUGUCGUCUGCAUGUCUCAGAGUCAGCCAAGCAAACCGUGGAGGUGAUCCGGGGCGUUUGGAAACAACCACAGGCUGAUAUAGUGAUAUAACUUCACUGUUGCUGCUUGACUGAUCUGUUAGUACCGGGCAUGAAAUGACAGUCAGUGGAUCUUUCUCAAAGCUCCUCUCCCAUGAAAGUCACAAACAAUGACCCGCAUUGUGCAGCAUGAGAGAAACAGGGUGGAGAAGCGGAGGUAAAGGAGGAGGUGGAGAGGAGGACUGCCACGGAUGAGCGGCUACAGACGGUUCAGGAGUAAAAGCACCUGAAUAAAAAAAAACGCUGGCACAUCAGUGUUUAAGAAGCCAAGAAGGCUGGGUACAUGUUCCAUGCCCAUGGGAUGAGAUGAGAGGAAGAAGAGGGAGCCAAAGGAUAGGAUAGGUUUGGAGAAUCGACACAGAGUAAAAAGGAAGCGAGAGAGACGGGAAAUCCCCUGCUCAUCCUUCAUCCUGCGCUCCUUCUCCUUCUCCACAGACCUGGUGGACUCUCUGAGCCGCUCCAGGUCCUGCUGGUACGUCCCCCUCUGGCUCUCCAGCUCCCUCCUCUCCUCCGCCAGGAGCUCCUGCAGCCAAAGAACCAGCAAUUAAGAUUUAUUUUUGGGGGAAAACUGAUAUUUGUAAAAAUGCAUCUUGUGUCUUUCUCUUGUACUUUAAGAAAACAAUGCAACCUCUACAUUGAACUGAGAUACGACUGAUAUAAUGGAGAACAGGGUGACUGUGGAGUGGGGGAUUAAUAAGGGUCGGCAUUUCGUCCAUGUGUCUGUUGGUAAGAUACUUAACCCAAAAUUGCUCCGAAAGGCAUGUCUACGGUAUUAAAGUGUAUGUAAGUUGCUUUGGAUAAGUCGUAAGCACAUGUAAUGUUAUAUGAACUUGCAAAGAAGUGUGAAACGUUUUUGAAACACUUCCUGUUGCUCCAGGGUUUCUAUUUUACAUAUCCAUAACUUACGUAUUUCUGCCUUUUAGUAGCACUAUAGUGUCUGUUGCACUAUAUUGCAUAUUGCACUGUUGGAGGAGCCUGGGACUUCAGAUUUGAAUUGCCAAAACUGUGCUGUAUAAAAGACAAUAAAGCUUUGGAAUUGAAUUAGA